rnacentral:piRNA from 1 species
UCCUAUGUAAAUCCCACAUAA